rnacentral:tRNA from 1 species
GGUCUCGUGGCCUAAUGGAUAAGGCAUCUGACUUCGGAUCAGGGGAUUGCAGGUUCGAUCCCUGCCGGGAUCG